GACUUUCUGAUCUAUCGAAGGGUCAGCGUAGCAGGGCAGUGCUUUGAACCACUGUCUCAUUAAGAUACAAUUGCCUCUUCUCUUCCCAGAUUGUUUACAACAGAGGGCUUAUUCCUAAGAAGUCAAUAAUGGGAGAACAUAAAUCACAGCACAGAAGGAGUUGUUCCUGCUUUAUGGGCCAGAUCCUCAGCUGGUAUAAAUCACUGUUGCCCCAGUGAUGUCACCUAAGCUCUGCUUUAUUUAUACAAUCCAAAGACCUGUCUCAUACUGUUCUCAUUUUGUUGGCUUUUAUUGACUCACUCUGUAAGCAUGGAUUCAUAUAUAUAUAUUCAUAUAUAUAUAAUGAAUCUGAAGAUAAUUGAGGUACGUGGAAAGUAAUUUUGUAAAAUUUUCAAGGGAAAAUCUGAAUUGCUCUCUUCCUUCUCCCUCCAUUUUAUUAAAAAAAAAUAGUUACCAUGUGAUUUUUAUCAGCUCAUAACCAUUUCCCUACAACCACUUCAGCCACUUUGCACUCUCCCUUUGGCAAAAUGUUCCAGAGGUCUUUGUAUGAUCUCAUGGAGCUGCUUGUAGAUGUAAAACUCAGACAGGAUGUCCCCAGGGUGGCUGGGGACAGUUGUGUUCACAUCUGGCUUUCAGAACUGGGAGCCUUUGAAUCAUCCCAUGCUUAGUGUUGGGCAACCCAGCACUUCACUCCUCACAGUAUCACCUCAAAACCUCCCUGAGCAUCCCAGGUGGAUGUGGAACAAGCAAGCAAUACCCACCCAACCCUCACAACUCCUCUAACAAAGCACUAUUACUAGUAACCUAUUACUAAUAACCUAUUACUAACAACUUGUUAGACAUACAACAGCUCCUUUUCAUUUUUGUUCCAGUGGUUGCUGUGACCAAAUCUGGCACCAUGAAGCCCCUUUUUAUAUGUCCUGGUUGUAUUUCAUCAUGCUGAUAUCAGGACUGAUGUCACUGGUGUCAAUAUGGCACAGAGAUCAAUGUUAAAUAGUGGAUUUGGGAUCCAUUGACAGAGUUAUAGCUAGGACCACAUUUGACCUUCUUUGGCCAACUGGGAGCCGGAGGGGUUUUUCCAUGUCAUUCAGUUAAAGGAGUUUCCACUGUCUGGCUUUCUCCUCUCACUGCACUGCAGUGACAACAGACAGUUGAGAAAGGAAAAAAUAAAUAAAUAACAUAAUAUAAUAUAAUAAAAUAAAAACCCUCCAAGGCAAUAGUAAAAAUUUAUGAAAGAAACCCCCAGAGAACAAAACAUCAGACAGGCAGAGGCUGAACAUGAGAAAAUAGCCACAGAAUAUUGUGAAAAAUUGAUGAGCAGAGCUGCAGAUACUUGAAAACAAUAAACAAGCAGAAUCUACUUAAUUAGAGAAGAUUGCAAUGUUAUUUUUUCCUGGUUAAAAAGCUAACUUUUAGGUCCACCCAGAAUUUUGGUACUCAGAUCAGGAUGUGCCCAGUCAUUCGAGUACGCUGCUGUUCUCUCCCAGUGGAGCCUUGCAGUACAACCAUAACACGUGUGCUCAAGAAUAAAUAGUUUGUUAUUUAAUGUGCCUUUAACAUGCUUUCUGUGUUUAGGGCAGCACUGAUAACUUCAGGUCCCAUGAUGCUCCUGGAUGCCACAAUUUAACAAAAACUCAAGCACCAUAACCUCUGCUUUGUUGCUACAGCAGGCAGCAGAGACGAGGUGAGUGCUGAGUGAUCAUCCUGUCCGGUUUUCCACAUCUGACACUCAAAUAUGCGGAGAGGAAAGAACAGUUUGCAACGAGUGAUAACAGCUCUGCACUGAGACAUCACCAACCUGAGGAUGCUGCUAACGUGCAAGGGCUGCAUGGUGGCAUAUUGGGCAAGGAGGCAUGGAGGCCAACGGAUGGGACAUGCAGAAAGGCAGCAGCAGAGCUGGAGCUGAGCAGAGGCAAGCUCUGUGCGAGCCUUUGUGCAGCUGUCUGGAUCAGUCCCGGGGCCGCUGGGGUGUCAUGGCAUACCUGGGCUGAGAUUCAAGACGACCUCAACUGAUUUAUGGGCUGGAUAGAGACCUAUAAAACCUGCGGCAAUUCUGCAUGGGGGUUCGCUGUGAAGCUCAGCAAAACUGUGAAACUCCAGCUGAGCUUUGUCCUGAUUUUUCUGACACUCGGAUAAAUGUAAACCAAAAGCCUCAACCCAAAUACUGCCAAAUUAUGGGGAAUGCGCCAAAAUGGAGAUUAUUUUUAAACUUCUUUCCCUGUUUUGUGGCUUAUGGGAUGGGCAUAGCGAUACUAAACAGUAAACAAGGGACUACAGAGACAGUGUUUUGUGAACUUUGUGCAUGACCUUUUCCACGAGGUGAAGUUAUUGUAUAAGCCUUUCCUGUCUGAAUGGGAAGGGAACGGGCAGGACAACACAAUAAACCAUCUCUCAGCAAAUGCUGAGGACUCAA